GCACAGAGAAAAUAGGCAUCCCAAGGAAAUAUUUCAUGUCCUUGUAUUCGAGGCGAAUGUUGAUCAAUAUUCAACAGUGCAUUUGCUAUCAAAGUAUUUAUAGCCGAUUCUCUGUGCAGGGAAUCUGUUGCAGCAAUAUCGACUUGGAACCGGAGAGUAUGGAAAUCAUUAUGUUAUAAGAAAACUUCAUCAAUAAUAUCAGCUGUCAACAAAAUAUUUUGGAACUUACCUCUCUGACCAAUGUUAUGUGUAUCUCGUUCAAGAAAUGGAAUCAUAUGGUUGGGGACUUUGGGCAGUCUCAGACUUUAUAAGGAUAAAUUAUAAUUGCGCAAAUUAUAUGUAAACAAGUGAUUCAAGAAAUAUAUUUUGAGCUGCUGCCAAUACUUUACCAAUGGUACUGCGAAGAUCGACAUCUAUGAAUCAGGAUUGACUCAACCUCUGAAUCAGAGAGUAGUUUGAGUUGUAAUCGCUGAAUUCAAUGAAAAGCUGAUGAAACUGUACAAAGGCAAACUUGACAGACUGCAAUUCAUAAUUUUUACCUGGCAAGAAAGAAAAUGCACGUUAUCCUUAGAGUUGAGCAGGACCUCAGCUCAAACACUUUAAGAUUUCGCGGCCGAUAUAUACGUGAACAGAGGCAAUCAUUUAUCGAGAAAGGCAAAAUUGACACUUAGGAAUUCAGCAAAAUCACUGAAGAUCACCGAAAACUGUUAGGUGUACAGUGGAUGAGACCAAGAAGACAUGAAUAGUCAUAAUGUGGUUUUAUUUUUCGAUAAAGGCAAUAAAGACAAGCGACUUGUUAAGAAAACUUUAUUUUAUUUAACUUCUUUUAUGUACAGAACCCGAUUGUGCCAAAAUUUACUAGUAAAAAUAUCCUAGAUCACCUGGUGAAAGAUCACCAUCUGUAUGAUUGAGACAAAACAUCUAGCUCUGAAGAACUACAAAUCGUUUAAGGGCGGAAAAGAGUGCAUCUGUUAAAGGUUAAUGGUAUGGUGCCAGAUUACUUACUAAAACUUUUAGAACCCUGUAUCCCACCUGAAACCAUUUAUCCCUUGAGGAAUCAUGAUGGUCUUACUUUUACCAAUCCUCAAGCCAGAACUACAUCUUACUUUAAAAAAGUUUUAUACCCUCUAAAAUUAAGCUGUGGAAUGAACUAACUUUGCACAUCAGAAGUCUCCAAUCAUUGUCUUCUUUUUCAAAUUCCAUUAUAAAACAAUUUUUCGAAACUCCAAAUAAACUUUUUAAUUUUGGGAAUCGCAGAGAAAAAAUUAUACAUUGUCAAUUAAGAAACAAUGCUAGUAGUUUAAAUGGUGACCUUUUUGAUGAUUUUAUUCGUGAAAAUUCAAUCUGUGAAAAUUAUGGAUAUCAUACUGAAAAUGCAUAUCAUUUUUCUUUGUCUGUCCUAAAUAUAAUGAGGAAAGGAACAGUCUAUUUUAUCAAAUAUCAAUAUUUGACUUGCAAAAACCAGUAACUUUGGAUUUGUUGUUAUUUGGAGAUGAUGACAUAUCAUAUGAUGAAAAUGCUGUACUAUUUAAAUUAGUUCAUAACUACAUUGUAAAAUCUUAUUAUAUUAAUAUUAAAAUAAUCAUGACUAUAGGUACAUGUAUAUAUAUAUUUAAAACAUGUACAUAAAAGUAGUAUACUUAUGCUGUAAUUGUACUAUUUAAGUUUUGAUUUUUUUUCUCUUUCUCUUUCCACAAACCUAGUUUUCCCAACCCUUUUUUCUUUUGCCCAUCUGAAUAUAUAUUUUUAAGCAUCAUCAUGCUAUUUUCUUUAUAUGUAUUACCUUGCACCUUAUGGAGAAGGCUUACAUAGGCAUUGCCUGCUGUCUAAUCCAUUUAUGUAAAUGUAUAUUUGCAUA